rnacentral:rRNA from 1 species
AUGGUGCUGCACGAGGUGCUGCGGCUGUACACGCCGGUGACGGCCAUCCACCGCGAGACGUACAAGCCCAUGGAGCUCGGCGGCGUGAGGUACCCGGCGGGCGUGGUGCUCAUGCUGCCGCUGCUCUGCGUCCACCACGACAAGGAGGUGUGGGGCGCCGACGCCGACGAGUUCAGGCCGGAGAGGUUCGCCGAGGGGAUCUCCAAGGCGUCCGUCGACGCGCCGGCGUUCUUCCCCUUUGGGUGGGGCCCGCAGGUGUGCAUCGGGCAGAACUUCGCGCUGCUCGAGGCCAAGAUGGGGCUCGCCGUCAUCCUGCGCCGCUUCUCCUUGCAGCUCUCGCCGUCGUACACGCACGCGCCGUUCCCCGCCGGCCUGCUGCAGCCGCAGCACGGCGCGCAACUCAGGCUCAAGACCCUAAUUCAGUGA